rnacentral:rRNA from 1 species
UGAAUACGAGACGCUAAGGCGUCGAAGUAGUGUAUGUCAUACUUCCAAGAAAAGCUUGCACUGUCAUAAAUAGAAAAUGCCUGUACCAUAACCGACACAGGUGGGUAGGUAGAGUAUACUAAGGGGCGCGAGAUAACUCUCUCUAAGGAACUCGGCAAAAUGACUUCGUAACUUCGGGAGAAGGAGUGCCUUAUUUUUAAGGUUGCAAUAACAAGAUCCAAGCAACUGUUUAUCAAAAACACAGGUCUCCGCUAAGUCGUAAGACGAUGUAUGGGGGCCGACGCCUGCCCAGUGCCAGAAGGUUAAAGAAGUUGGUUAGCAUUAGCGAAGCUGAUAACUGAAGCCCUGGUGAACGGCGGCCGUAACUAUAACGGUCCUAAGGUAGCGAAAUUCCUUGUCGGGUAAGUUCCGACCCGCACGAAAGGCGUAAUGAUUUGGAUACUGUCUCGGAGAGGGGCUCGGUGAAAUAGACUUGUCUGUGAAGAUGCGGACUACCUGCACCUGGACAGAAAGACCCUAUGAAGCUUUACUGUAACUUGAAAUUGAAAUUGGACUUUAGUCGCGCAGCAUAGGUGGGAGGCGUUGAUGAUGUUCUUGCGGGAACAUUGGAGCUAUCAGUGAGAUACCACUCUUCUAAUGUUAGAUUUCUAACUUUGAACCAUUAUCUGGUCAGAGAACAGUUUCAGGCGGGCAGUUUGACUGGGGCGGUCGCCUCCCAAAUGGUAACGGAGGCGUACAAAGGUUUCCUCUGAACGGAUAGAAAUCGUAUCUAGAGUGUAAAGGCAUAAGGAAGCUUGACUGUGAGACCUACAAGUCGAGCAGGGACGAAAGUCGGUCUUAGUGAUCUGACGGUACUGAGUGGAAAGGCCGUCACUCAACGGAUAAAAGUUACUCUAAGGAUAACAGGCUGAUCUCCCCCAAGAGUUCACAUCGACGGGGAGGUUUGGCACCUCGAUGUCGGCUCAUCGCAUCCUGGGGCGGUAGUACGUCCCAAGGGUUGGGCUGUUCGCCCAUGGAAGCGGUACGCGAGCUGGGUUCAGAACGUCGUGAGACAGUUCGGUCCAUAUCCGGUGUAGGCGUUAGAAUAUUGAGAGGAGCCUUCUCUAGUACGAGAGGACCGAGAAGGACAUACCUCUGGUGUACCAGUUAUCGUGCCAACGGUAAACGCUGGGUAGCUAUGUAUGGAGUGGAUAACCGCUGAAAGCAUCUAAGUGGGAAGCCCACCUCAAGAUGAG